GAUGAACGCUGGCGGCGUGCCUAAUACAUGCGAGUCGAGCGAACAGAUGAGGAGCUUGCUCCUCUGACGUUAGCGGCGGACGGGUGAGUAACACGUGGAUAACCUACCUAUAAGACUGGGAUAACUUCGGGAAACCGGAGCUAAUACCGGAUAAUAUAUUGAACCGCAUGGUUCAAUAGUGAAAGACGGUUUUGCUGUCACUUAUAGAUGGAUCCGCGCCGCAUUAGCUAGUUGGUAAGGUAACGGCUUACCAAGGCAACGAUGCGUAGCCGACCUGAGAGGGUGAUCGGCCACACUGGAACUGAGACACGGUCCAGACUCCUACGGGAGGCAGCAGUAGGGAAUCUUCCGCAAUGGGCGAAAGCUUGACGGAGCAACGCCGCGUGAGUGAUGAAGGUCUUCGGUUCGUAAAACUCUGUUAUUAGGGAAGAACAAAUGUGUAAGUAACUAUGCACGUCUUGACGGUACCUAAUCAGAAAGCCACGGCUAACUACGUG
rnacentral:rRNA from 1 species